GAUGAACGCUGGCGGCGUGCCUAAUACAUGCAAGUCGAGCGAACGGACGAGAAGCUUGCUUCUCUGAUGUUAGCGGCGGACGGGUGAGUAACACGUGGAUAACCUACCUAUAAGACUGGGAUAUCUUCGGGAAACCGGAGCUAAUACCGGAUAAUAUUUUGAACCGCAUGGUUCAAAAGUGAAAGACGGUCUUGCUGUCACUUAUAGAUGGAUCCGCGCUGCAUUAGCUAGUUGGUAAGGUAACGGCUUACCAAGGCAACGAUGCAUAGCCGACCUGAGAGGGUGAUCGGCCACACUGGAACUGAGACACGGUCCAGACUCCUACGGGAGGCAGCAGUAGGGAAUCUUCCGCAAUGGGCGAAAGCCUGACGGAGCAACGCCGCGUGAGUGAUGAAGGUCUUCGGAUCGUAAAACUCUGUUAUUAGGGAAGAACAUAUGUGUAAGUAACUGUGCACAUCUUGACGGUACCUAAUCAGAAAGCCACGGCUAACUACGUG
rnacentral:rRNA from 1 species